GCGGCGAACGGGUGAGUAACACGUGAGCAACCUGCCCCUGACUCCGGGAUAAGCGGUGGAAACGCCGUCUAAUACCGGAUACGACCCGCCACCUCAUGGUGGAGGGUGGAAAGUUUUUCGGUCAGGGAUGGGCUCGCGGCCUAUCAGCUUGUUGGUGGGGUAACGGCCUACCAAGGCGAUUACGGGUAGCCGGCCUGAGAGGGCGACCGGCCACACUGGGACUGAGACACGGCCCAGACUCCUGCGGGAGGCAGCAGUGGGGAAUAUUGCGCAAUGGGCGAAAGCCUGACGCAGCGACGCCGCGUGGGGGAUGACGGCCUUCGGGUUGUAAACCUCUUUUACCACCAACGCAGGCCCGGAGUUCUCUUCGGGUUGACGGUAGGUGGGGAAUAAGGACCGGCUAACUACGUGCCAGCAGCCGCGGUAAUACGUAGGGUCCGAGCGUUGUCCGGAAUUAUUGGGCGUAAAGAGCUCGUAGGCGGCGUGUCGCGUCUGCUGUGAAAGACCGGGGCUUAACUCCGGUUCUGCAGUGGAUACGGGCAUGCUAGAGGUAGGUAGGGGAGACUGGAAUUCCUGGUGUAGCGGUGAAAUGCGCAGAUAUCAGGAGGAACACCGGUGGCGAAGGCGGGUCUCUGGGCCUUACCUGACGCUGAGGAGCGAAAGCAUGGGGAGCGAACAGGAUUAGAUACCCUGGUAGUCCAUGCCGUAAACGUUGGGCGCUA
rnacentral:rRNA from 1 species